UACAAAGACUGCAAGCGUUAUUCGGAUUCACUGGGCGUAAAGGGUGCGCAGGCGGCCAAGUGUGUUAGGCGUGAAAGCCCGGGGCUUAACCCCGGAAUUGCACCUAAAACUACAUGGCUAGAGCAUUGGAGAGGGUAGCGGAAUUCACGGUGUAGCAGUGAAAUGCGUAGAUAUCGGAAGGAACACCAGUGGCGAAAGCGGCUUCCUGGUCCAGCACCGACGUUCAGGCACGAAAGCGUGGGGAGCAAACAGG
rnacentral:rRNA from 1 species